rnacentral:lncRNA from 1 species
UGAAAGGUUAACUCCAAGAUUCAAAGGUUAGAGCAUGAAAUUGAUAAAACUAGGGACCAUUUGCACUAAAAAGUUUAUGCAGGUGCAUAAUUAAUCGUAAAAUUAGACUGAAAGUGUCAAAAAGGAUGAUUUGUGUACUAAGUUGAUAGGUUACGGUUGAUUGCACAAUAACGCAAUAGAUUAGAUACAAACAGAUGUCUUGUCGUAACCCCAACCGCUCCAGUAUUCUUAUUUGUCAUCUGUCGUGUUUCCAUAUCCAUAUAUAUGUGGAGAGAGAGAGAGAGAGAGAGGAAAAACUGUCCAAAUUUCCAUUGCAGGAUCAGCUAUUGAUCAUUUAAUCUAUUUUUGAGAGAGAUGAGUGGUUUGCCAAGGUCAGAAAUAUCCUUUAGAAGACAAGGUUCUUCAGGGUUGGUAUGGGAUGACAAGUUAAAUUUGGAGGUGAAGAAGAAACACGAUCGAGAACCCGCGGUCGAACGGAGCCCAAGGGAAUAUGUAUAUCGAUCCAGGACAGUUACACCAGCAGCCGAACCGCCAUCUCCCAAGGUCUUCGGUUGCUGUGGCAUAUUUGGGAAGCCUCCCCAUCGUGAGUUAUAGUUGCUCUGCAUGCUGUUUAUGUUGUGUAUGAAAUAUCACAUUUUAGUUGAUGAAAAAGCUUUUAAUAAUAGUUACGUGUUGAAUAUGAAAAGUUCAAUUGCAUUUAGUUUCACACACUUGCACACAAUUCUCCUAAUUUCCAGGCUCGACUCUUUCUUUUUUUGGUUGAUGGAUUUUGAUGUGUAUAGCAAGAAGAACAUAUGUAAAGAAUCGAGCACGUAUUCAAGCCGUUAACUACGUAACAUAUGUACUGUUUGUUUUGGGAGGGUUUGCGCACAUUUUACCCUCCCGACGACUUUUUGUUGCUUCUUCAUAUCUCUAACAUUUACC